rnacentral:rRNA from 1 species
GACGAACGCUGGCGGCGUGCUUAACACAUGCAAGUCGAACGGAAAGGCCCUGCUUUUGUGGGGUGCUCGAGUGGCGAACGGGUGAGUAACACGUGAGUAACCUGCCCUUGACUUUGGGAUAACUUCAGGAAACUGGGGCUAAUACCGGAUAGGCGCUCCUGCUGCAUGGUGGGGGUUGGAAAGUUUCGGCGGUUGGGGAUGGACUCGCGGCUUAUCAGAUUGUUGGUGGGGUAGUUGCUUACCAAGGCUUUGACGGGUAGCCGGCCUGAGAGGGUGACCGGCCACAUUGGGACUGAGAUACGGCCCAGACUCCUACGGGAGGCAGCAGUGGGGAAUAUUGCACAAUGGGCGGAAGCCUGAUGCAGCAACGCCGCGUGCGGGAUGACGGCCUUCGGGUUGUAAACCGCUUUCGCCUGUGACGAAGCGUGAGUGACGGUAAUGGGUAAAGAAGCACCGGCUAACUACGUG